GCGCUGCUGUCGCGACUGAGGCCGGCGAUCGGGCGGCGCGACUCGGCCCUGAGGAGAGCGGUGCCGGCCGAGGUGCGCCCGGCGCUCACCCUGUGGCGCCUGGGAGCCGUCACCGAGUACCGGGCGCUGGAAGCCACCUUCGGAGUGUCCCGCAGCUCGAGGAAGCAGCACAGUUCAUUUGAACGAAGUCCUUCCUUACAUGUCAGAGAAAAAACAAGUUGUGUGAGAGCUCUGCUAGCUGUGAAUGCCUGGAGUGAAGAAUUUUACUGCUCUGCAAAGCGCACGCUGUUUAACUACACUUGAGGGAAAACAGCUAAUAUACAUGCUCAUUUUGGAAGACUUCCCUGGCAGUGACAAGUUCUGUGCUAAGUGCUGGAUUGGAGAGCUUGGCUCGGGGAGAUACCUUUAGCUUGAUGGUACACAGGGGUCUAAAGAGGGUGUCCGGGUGUCCCUGUGCUCUGGCACCAGCUGAGGUGCAGGAGCGCUUCUAGGGCUGCCUGCAGACGUG